GGGGCCGAAGUAGAGUGGCGCACGGGUGAGUAACACGUAGGUAAUCUACCUCUGGGUGGGGAAUAACGACCGGAAACGGUCGCUAAUACCGCAUAAUGCAGCGGCACCACAUGGUGACAGUUGUUAAAGCGGGGGAUCGUAAGACCUCGCGCCUAGAGAUGAGCCUGCGGCGGAUUAGCUAGUUGGCAGGGUAACGGCCUACCAAGGCGACGAUCCGUAGCCGGCCUGAGAGGGCGGACGGCCACACUGGCACUGACAUACGGGCCAGACUCCUACGGGAGGCAGCAGUCGGGAAUUUUGGGCAAUGGGCGAAAGCCUGACCCAGCAACGCCGCGUGAAGGAUGAAGCUUUUCGGAGUGUAAACUUCAUAAGAAUGGGACGAAUAAGGAGGGGUUAACACCCCCUUUGAUGACGGUACCAUUUGUAAGCUCCGGCUAACUCCGUGCCAGCAGCCGCGGUAACACGGGGGGAGCAAGCGUUGUUCGGAUUUACUGGGCGUAAAGGGCGCGUAGGCGGCGCAACAAGUCACUUGUGAAAUCUCCGGGCUUAACCCGGAGCGGCCAAGUGAUACUGUCGUGCUAGAGUGCGGAAGGGGCUACUGGAAUUCUCGGUGUAGCGGUGAAAUGCGUAGAUAUCGAGAGGACACCUGCGGCGAANGCGGGUAGCUGGGCCGACACUGACGCUGAGGCGCGAAAGCCAGGGGAGCGAACGGGAUUAGAUACCCCGGUAGUCCUGGCCU
rnacentral:rRNA from 1 species